rnacentral:rRNA from 1 species
GAUGAACGCUGGCGGCGUGCUUAACACAUGCAAGUCGAACGAAGCAACUCAUCAUGAUUCCUUCGGGAUGACGAUUUGUUGACUGAGUGGCGGACGGGUGAGUAACGCGUGGGUAACCUGCCUUAUACAGGGGGAUAGCAGCUGGAAACGGCUGAUAAUACCGCAUAAGCGCACAGCAUCGCAUGAUGCAGUGGGAACAACUCCGGUGGUAUAAGAUGGACCCGCGUCUGAUUAGCUAGUUGGUGAGGUAACGGCCCACCAAGGCAACGAUCAGUAGCCGACCUGAGAGGGUGACCGGCCACAUUGGGACUGAGACACGGCCCAGACUCCUACGGGAGGCAGCAGUGGGGAAUAUUGCACAAUGGAGGAAACUCUGAUGCAGCGACGCCGCGUGAGCGAAGAAGUAUUUCGGUAUGUAAAGCUCUAUCAGCAGGGAAGAUAAUGACGGUACCUGACUAAGAAGCUCCGGCUAAAUACGUGCCAGCAGCCGCAGUAACAC